AGGCAUAGCCAUUGACUAUUUUCGUAGCAAAUUUUGAGAUUAUUGAGUAAAUGGUGUGUGUGUAGCGUGUAUGUAGUUUGGUAUGAAAAGUAAGAAAGUGAGAAAGCCAUUCGUGAGUUUUUGAACUCUUCUUUUUGUUGUUGAGAAACAUUAGAGAAACGUCGAGAUAUUGUCCGGAGGCAUUGUUCUGAGAGUGGUCAGGAAAUGUCAGGGGCAUUAUCGCGUGGGUCGUCAUCGGGUUGUCCAUCGUGUCCAAAGAGUGCCAGGGGUCUGUCAGGGGUCAGUUGGUCGUAUAAUCGAGUUGUCAGUCCAUGUCCAAAGAGUGCCAGGGGUCUGUCAGGGGUCAGUAGGUCGUAUAAUCAGGUUGUCAGUCCAUGUCCAAAGAGUGCCAGGGGUCUGUCAGGGGUCAGUAGGUCGUAUAAUCAGGUUGUCAGUCCAUGUCCAAAGAGUGCCAGGGGUCUGUCAGGGGUCAGUAGGUCGUAUAAUCAGGUUGUCAGUCCAUGUCCAAAGAGUGCCAGGGGUCUGUCAGGGGUCAGUUGGUCGUAUAAUCGAGUUGUCAGUCCAUGUCCAAAGAGUGCCAGGGGUCUGUCAGGGGUCAGUUGGUCGUAUAAUCGAGUUGUCAGUCCAUGUCCAAAGAGUGCCAGGGGUCUGUCAGGGGUCAGUUGGUCGUAUAAUCAGGUUGUCAGUCCAUGUCCAAAGAGUGCCAGGGGUCUGUCAGGGGUCAGUAGGUCGUAUAAUCGGGUUGUCAGUCCAUGUCCAAAGAGUGCCAGGGGUCUGUCAGGGGUCAGUAGGUCGUAUAAUCGGGUUGUCAGUCCAUGUCCAAAGAGUGCCAGGGGUAUGUCAGGGGUCAGUAGGUCGUGGGUCGUCAGGAGUUGUCAGUCCGUGUGUUUUUUUAGUCUGGCUGAGCCGCUGUCUCCCCAGAAGAGUCUCAGCUAUAACUUGGGCGUUGUCUGUUGGUCUGGAUGAGCCACAGUCUCCCCAGAUGAGACUCACUCUUACCAACACACAGUACCGUUUUUUGUUGUUUUAUGAUUUUUUUUUUGUUUUUAUGUUUUUAUAGUUAGUGACAAUCUGCCCUGCUGGGGGGAUUUCUUCUUCCCCGCGCGGCAGUUCCUCUUGAAGGUGUCAAUCAUUAUGAUUAUGGUGAUUUGUACCGGUGACCUAAACUGAUAUAAGGGUCACGCCUCGUCUGGCUACUUCUUAGGAAGGUCAGCACGUCUUGCGGGAACUUCAACGCCCCCCCCGCCGGACCUUCGGGAUCCCUGGCACCGCCAUGGACGCCCCGGGGGAGCCACGGCGCCCUACCGGGGCCCCUCCAGUCCUGCGAUGCUCACCAGCAAGACCAAGGGCUCGUUGGCGCUCCCCAGCCCCGACGAUACGAGGAGGGCGGGUGCAAGAAC